rnacentral:rRNA from 1 species
CCUACGGGUGGCAGCAGUGAGGAAUAUUGGUCAAUGGGCGCGAGCCUGAACCAGCCAAGUAGCGUGAAGGAUGACUGCCCUACGGGUUGUAAACUUCUUUUGUACGAGGGUAAACGCAGAUACGCGUAUCUGUCUGAAAGUAUCGUACGAAUAAGGAUCGGCUAACUCCGUGCCAGCAGCCGCGGUAAUACGGAGGAUUCAAGCGUUAUCCGGAUUUAUUGGGUUUAAAGGGUGCGUAGGCGGUCGGAUAAGUUAGAGGUGAAAUCCCGAGGCUCAACUUCGGAAUUGCCUCUGAUACUGUUCGGCUAGAGAGUAGUUGCGGUAGGCGGAAUGUAUGGUGUAGCGGUGAAAUGCUUAGAGAUCAUACAGAACACCGAUUGCGAAGGCAGCUUACCAAGCUACUUCUGACGUUGAGGCACGAAAGCGUGGGGAGCAAACAGGAUUAGAUACCCGAGUAGUC